AUUUAAGUUUUUUAAAUUGAAAAAUAUAGUUUGUGGUUCCGUAGAUAUUUUUUUUGAUUUUAAAAU
rnacentral:tRNA from 1 species